rnacentral:rRNA from 1 species
GUGUCAGCAGCCGCGGUAAGACGAACCGUGCGAACGUUGUUCGGAAUCACUGGGCUUAAAGGGCGCGUAGGCGGGCGAGCAAGUCCGGGGUGAAAGCCCCCGGCCCAACCGGGGAAGUGCCUUGGAUACUGCUCGCCUUGAGGGAGGUAGGGGCUUGUGGAACUUCCGGUGGAGCGGUGAAAUGCGUUGAUAUCGGAAGGAACGCCGGUGGCGAAAGCGACAAGCUGGCCCUCUUCUGACGCUGAGGCGCGAAAGCCAGGGGAGCAAACGGGAUUAGAUACCCCCGUAGUCC